rnacentral:rRNA from 1 species
CGAGCCGAUAAACGGCCGGUGGUGCGUAGACGGCGAGGGACCUGAGCUGAGGAGAGCAGAGCCAACCCCCCUCUCUCUCUCGUCUCUUCUGUCCCUCCCCGCUUCUCCGGCAGACGCUUAAACUCCUAAAAGGAGAGGGAGAGAGAGAAAACAAGCAUCGGCAGACCUAUACGAUGGCGACCGUGUGCCCUCUGUCGUGCUUAGCCCGCGCCGGCGGCGAUGGACUCGACCUCCUCCUACAAACUAACGUUGCCGCUUAGGGUCGUCGUCCAUCCCCUACCUUAGACCCGACUUGAGUCCCUCUUACUUCUGGUAUAUUGUGGAACAGGGUUCCUAUGCUUCCUAUCAUCUAGUUAGACACAAGCUCUGGUCUUCUUCUUACUACUACUUCGUCGAUCACAACACCCGGAAUGACUUACAUGAAGUACCCCAGUUUGACUUGUAGGACCAAACCUUUUCGUCCGACGGUGACUCCGAUCACCUGUAAUAAGUCGAUGUGUUGAACUGUAUCUUAGGACCGGACUGGACGGAGAGGACUCGUGAUGUAAACUAUCUUUGAUGUUACUGCUAUUAUAUCGUAGUUGUAUAAACCUAAAGUUAAGACGUAGAUCAUGUUUUUCAAUGGUCUUCGCACAGUCCAAACAAAGUAAUAAAUUGUAAAGAUGUAAGUUUGUACGGUGUGUACAUCCUUUUUUUUCCAUUUCUGUGUUAUGAAAGUUUUGUUUAAUAUAUAGAAAGCAAUCGGGUAUAUGUCACGUCGACCUACCACUUGGACUUUACAAACCGUUACUCGUACUUCUUUUCUCGUUGUUGAAAGAGCUGACACUGACCCCGUUAUAACCUCUAAAACUACUAAAACUGAUGAACAAAUCGUUGUGACUUCGGAAUAAACCUUUACUCUACUAACAAUUACCGUCACUAAAGGAACAAUGCUCAAGUCUACACCAACUGCCAUGACAUGUUAGUUAGGGGAAAGGCCCUCUACAUCUCUUCUCUGGUUACUUUAGUGUUUCUUUUGGUCUACUUCCUUCGUUUUCAUUUUGUAGGUUGUUAUGUUCACCAAAGAGGGUCUUGGUUCCUGUGGUCGUUGGUCUGUCAAACGUAAGUAAUAGGCUUGGAGGACAGGUCGUAAAAGUCUGAGCAGUUAUACGUGACGAGGUGCUAUCGUUCUUAUACCUCGUUAAAGUUCUACGAUAAGUCGAACGUAAGGGACCGAUACCUACAGGACGUAUAGGCACAGGAUGGUAAGGCCGCCACAGUUUAUAAGUCCGACUUCCGGUAGUCUGUUUGGGUUUCCGACGUACAAUGGUUUGAAGUCAUCUAGGAGACUUCGUUAGUUCAAGGUGUCUUUUCGGUGUUCUAUACGGUAGUUCCCGUGACUACUACUGUGGGGUCCUUUUCUAACUUUUCGAAUCCGCGGCCGUUGUUGUUGUUCGGGACUCUCGAUAAGUUGUUGUCGUCGUCGUUAAAGCAGUUCUCCCAAGCCCGUCCCUGUGAAACCAUGGAGCUCGUAUGAGGGCUUUCUUCUUGAGUCUAAGUAAUCCCUCAAGUCCAUAGUAUCUGCUUUUACGUGGUCUCGUCUGAAGUCGAACAGCAUUUCUCUAAGUAUUCUUAAGACCUUAAGGAUUACUAGGGAAAUAUCUCCUUUUUUAUAUAAUACUCGAAUUUCUACGGGAACCCUUCGACCUACGAUCUUGAGCUGAGACGUAAGCUCUGUCAGACGAAGCUAACCGAGUCUCAAGGAGCGUCUCUGUUUAACGACCACUGUCUUGAUCGUCAUUGUUCUGAUUUUCUCUACUUCUACUUCAAAGUCUUUUACUGAGUAGGUUGUCCUCUUUUUCUAGAGACCACUUCCUUCGUCUUUGUCUGUGGUUAGGUUAACUAGCUUAACAUCGGGUAAACGACAAAGUAUCUGGUACAAGCUGCCAACGUUGUGAACGUUUCCUUCUUUAACGUAGGAACUGAGACUACAGUGAACUUCGACUAAGGUUCUACGGACCCCGGUGCGGACCCGCCGGUAGUCCUCUAGUUGUCUGACGCGUCCUUUACCGUUAAGUCGGAAGUCACAUUUCCUACACACAAGUCUCAAAUGAGUUUACUAUCAUUUUAUCCUUAAGACAUAAACGUAAAACUAUGCGGGCAAAGGGGACCUACCAACUAGAAAGAGGUAUCUCAUGCGUCGAUCUCUGGUUGCACUGUAGGCUUACCAUGGGAUGAAGAUAUCUAUCGCCGUCGUCGCAGGGCGUCCAGAAACAUGACAUAAAAUAUCGUGCAAACGGCAAAAGUCCGAAAAACUGGGGAAACGUAGUCUAGGUCGUUCUUAACGUACGUGAUCUGGUUACACCUGAACAGCUCUACUUUCACUCUGACCUUAGCACAUACCUCGAGAUUCUGUCGACGAGACAUGAAUAAAAACCCCCAUUUUAUGCGGGCGCGAUUUCAAGUGAAUACAGUAACAUAAAAGCUUCCACGUUCAAUACCAGUAAAACCAACUGCCUUAAUAAAGCAUAAGAGAUAUUUGUUUAUAUUCUACAAAAAGUUUAGACAUACACUUUGUUUUUGCUUAAUAUAUACACGUAUCUCCGACACGGUUAAACCGACAUAAUUAACUCCACCGUACGUAGGUGGCCUAAACUAGUGAGUGCAUGGUUAGCCCG